UCCGGAAUCUUGUUCUAGUUAAAACGAAACCGGAGCUUUCACAGUAAGAUUUAAAGGAAAUCUGGAAACGCUGACGUACAGGCACACUCCUCAUCCUGCAGGUGUGCCCCGCGGGACCCUCCCCCCACAGGCGGGAUCCCCUGCUUCUCCGUGAAACCUCCCGAACGGGAGGAGCGCCCGCUGUUUGAGCAGCUGGCACCGGGAGGAACAAGACAGGCAAGUCCUCGCUUCCCGGACCCAGUGUAGAGAGGACAGAGAAGCGAAAGGAACAGCCCCGAGGGAGCACUGACGUCCUCCUUUGGAGACUGUGCCUCUGUCCUCUCUCAUCACGGCCUUUCUUCCCCGAGGCCGGAGCCCAGGAGGAGCUGCAGGGCCCCUGCUGAGGAAUUUCCCACCGUGCCAGGUGCCGGGUGCCGGGUGCCGGGUGCCAGGAUGAGCUGGCCGAGGAGCUUACCCGUGGAGGAUUCGGGUCACAGGAUGACCUUCAAUUUAUCAGGGCCGAGCAGGGAGCCGACAAAGGGUGAGAUGAGACUUAGCAUCAGAAUGGAGUCGCAGGUGGUGGCUCCCAGGACCUCCUCCUGACUCCAGGGCACAAGGAAAUGGUUCCUAAGGAAGUCUCUAUCUUCACAGGGUAGAAAGUACUUCGCAAUGUAUCGCAUAAA